CUGGCGGUAUGCUUACACAUGCAAGUCGAACGAUGUUUUAGGACAUAGUGGCGGACGGGUGAGUAACGCGUAAGAAUCUGCCUUCAGGUUGGGGACAACCACUGGAAACGGUGGCUAAUACCGAAUGUGCCGAGAGGUGAAAGGCUUGCUGCCUGAAGAAGAGCUUGCGUCUGAUUAGCUAGUUGGUGGGGUAAGAGCCUACCAAGGCGACGAUCAGUAGCUGGUCUGAGAGGAUGAUCAGCCACACUGGGACUGAGACACGGCCCAGACUCCUACGGGAGGCAGCAGUGGGGAAUUUUCCGCAAUGGGCGAAAGCCUGACGGAGCAAUACCGCGUGAGGGAGGAAGGCUCUUGGGUUGUAAACCUCUUUUCUCAGGGAAGAAAAAAAUGACGGUACCUGAGGAAUAAGCAUCGGCUAACUCCGUGCCAGCAGCCGCGGUAAUACGGAGGAUGCAAGCGUUAUCCGGAAUGAUUGGGCGUAAAGGGUCCGCAGGUGGUAGUGUAAGUCUGCUGUUAAAGAAUCACGCUCAACGUGAUCAAAGCAGUGGAAACUACACAACUAGAGUACGGUAGGGGCAGAAGGAAUUCCUGGUGUAGCGGUGAAAUGCGUAGAUAUCAGGAAGAACACCGGUGGCGAAAGCGUUCUGCUAGACCUGUACUGACACUGAGGGACGAAAGCUAGGGGAGCGAAUGGGAUUAGAUACCCCAGUAGUCCUAGCCGUAAACGAUGGAUACUAGGUGUGGCUUGUAUCGACCCGAGCCGUACCGUAGCUAACGCGU
rnacentral:rRNA from 1 species